rnacentral:rRNA from 1 species
UACGGAGGGUGCAAGCGUUAUUCGGAAUUACUGGGCGUAAAGCGUGCGCAGGCGGUUUGUUAAGUCCGUUGUGAAAGCCCCGAGCUCAACUUGGGAAUUGCAGUGGAUACUGGCAGGCUGGAGUACGGUAGAGGAAGGUGGAAUUCCUGGUGUAGCGGUGGAAUGCGCAGAUAUCAGGAGGAACACCGAUGGCGAAGGCAGAUCUCUGGGCCGUAACUGACGCUGAGGAGCGAAAGCGUGGGGAGCGAACAGG